rnacentral:rRNA from 1 species
AUUGAACGCUGGCGGAAUGCUUUACACAUGCAAGUCGAACGGCAGCACGGGGGCAACCCUGGUGGCGAGUGGCGAACGGGUGAGUAAUACAUCGGAACGUGCCCAGUCGUGGGGGAUAACGUAGCGAAAGUUACGCUAAUACCGCAUACGAUCUACGGAUGAAAGCGGGGGACCGUAAGGCCCCGCGCGAUUGGAGCUGCCGAUGUCAGAUUAGGUAGUUGGGGAGGUAAAGGGUCACCAAGCCGACGAUCUGUAGCUGGUCUGAGAGGACGACCAGCCACACUGGGACUGAGACACGGCCCAGACUCCUACGGGAGGCAGCAGUGGGGAAUUUUGGACAAUGGGCGCAAGCCUGAUCCAGCCAUUCCGCGUGCAGGACGAAGGCCUUCGGGUUGUAAACUGCUUUUGUACGGAACGAAAAGGCUCUGGUUAAUACCUGGGGCUCAUGACGGUACCGUAAGAAUAAGCACCGGCUAACUACGUGCCAGCCGCCGCCGUAA